GAGACUUGGGGCGAAGGUAAAGGAAGUUCAAGAUAAUAUUCCACAAGUUGAGGGGAGAAGCAAAAGGGACAGGACAUCCGGUGUAAUGCCCUGAAUCAAGCACGUUUUGGCGAGGCGUAUUGUGUAACAAGUCUCGGGAUUUAUUUUGACCGAAUGCUCCGUAACUUAUGUGUAAACCGGAGUUUUAAAACAACAUUUUUUCAGAUGAUUGUACGUCGAAUGCAGUCUGUAAGAUCUCUAAAAUAAAUAGCCUCACUGAGACAGGUUCUUCUUGGUUUAAUUAACGGGCAUCCGUUAAUGUGAAGAAAGAACCAUGGGAUCCGCGCGAACGGAACAGAGACACACAAACAUAGAGCUAAAACGAUAAGCAGACAUAGGAAAUACAAUUUCAGAGAACGGCGUUACUCAUAUACCACACACCUCUAACUGGAAUUCACUCACCUGCAGGAUGUGAUGAUUGGUUCCCGUGCCACGCUUCCACAAUCAAGGAAAACGUUCCCUGCAAAAGACGGAUAAGAAU